rnacentral:misc_RNA from 1 species
GAUGAAGAACGUAGCGAAAUGCGAUACGUAAUGUGAAUUGCAGAAUUCAGUGAAUCAUCGAAUCUUUGAACGCACAUUGCGCCUGCCAGCACUCUGGCAGGCAUGCCUGUUCGAGCGUCAUUUCAACCAUCAAGCCCUAGGCUUGCGUUGGAGCCCUGCGGCUGCCGCAGGCCCCUAAAAGCAGUGGCGGGCUCGCUAUCACACCGAGUGCAGUAGAUUACUCUUCGCUCAGGGCGUGUGGCGGGUUCCAGCCGUGAAACCCCCUACUUCUCAAGGUUGACCUCGGAUCAGGUAGGAAUACCCGCUGAACUUAAGCAUAUCAAUAAGGAGGA